CCCCCCCCCCCCCACCCUUUUCCCGCAGCGCCCCCCCACCACAUCCCUGUCCCCUCAGCAUCCCCUCAGAGCCCCCUCACCACAUCCCUGUCCCCUCGGUGCCCCCUCACCACAUCCCUGUCCUCUCGGUGGCCCCUCAGCAUCCCCUCUCCCCAUAUCCCUGUCCCCUUGGCAUCCCCUCAGGGCCUCCUCACCACGGCCCUAUCCCCUCAGUGUCCCCUCAGCGUCCCCUCACCACAUCCCUGUCCCCUCGGCAUCCCCUCAGAGCCCCCUCACCACGGCCCUGUCCUUUUGGUGUCCCAUCAGCAUCCCCUCCCCACAUCCCUGUGCCCUCAAUGUCCCCUCAGCGCCCCCUCACCACGUCCCUGUCCCCUUGACAUCCCCUCACCACGGCCCUGUCCUCUUGGUGGCCCCUCAGCAUCCCCCCUCCCCAUAUCCCUGUCCCCUUGGCAUCCCCUCAGGGCCUCCUCACCACGGCCCUAUCCCCUCAGUGUCCCCUCAGCGUCCCCUCACCACAUCCCUGUCCCCUCGGCAUCCCCUCAGAGCCCCCUCACCACGGCCCUGUCCUUUUGGUGUCCCAUCAGCAUCCCCUCCCCACAUCCCUGUGCCCUCAAUGUCCCCUCAGCGCCCCCUCACCACGUCCCUGUCCCCUUGACAUCCCCUCACCACGGCCCUGUCCUUUUGGUGUCCCAUCAGCAUCCCCUCCCCACAUCCCUGUGCCCUCAAUGUCCCCUCAGCGCCCCCUCACCACGUCCCUGUCCCCUUGACAUCCCCUCACCACGGCCCUGUCCUUUUGGUGUCCCAUCAGCAUCCCCUCCCCACAUCCCUGUGCCCUCAAUGUCCCCUCAGCGCCCCUUCAUCACAUCCCUUGCCCCUCGGUGUCCCUUCAGCAUCCCCUCCCCACACCUCUAUCCUCUUGGUCCACCCUCCCCACACCCCUGUCCCCUCGGUGUCCAUGCCCAGCGUGAUGGGCACCGGUCGUUGGGUUUGCAAGCACGUAGGUUGUAG
rnacentral:lncRNA from 1 species